AUACGGAGGACGCGAGCGUUAUCCGGAUUCAUUGGGUUUAAAGGGUGCGCAGGCGGCCGUGCAAGUCAGCGGUGAAAGCCCGGGGCUCAACCCCGGAAGUGCCGUUGAUACUGCAUGGCUGGAAUGCGGUCGAGGCGGGCGGAACGUGGCGUGUAGCGGUGAAAUGCGUAGAUAUGCCACAGAACGCCGAUAGCGGAGGCAGCUGGCCAGGCCUGCAUUGACGCUCGGGCACGAAAGCGUGGGGAUCGAACAGGAUUAGAUACCCUGGUAGUCCACGCCGUAAACGAUGGGCGCUCGUCGUCGGCGGCAGACAGUCGGCGGCCAAGCGAAAGCGAUAAGCGCCCCACCUGGGGAGUACGGUCGCAAGGCUGAAACUCAAAUGAAUUGACGGGG
rnacentral:rRNA from 1 species